rnacentral:tRNA from 1 species
UGCGGGGUGGAGCAGCCAGGUAGCUCGUUGGGCUCAUAACCCAAAGGUCGGUGGUUCAAAUCCACCCCCCGCAACCA